AACGCACCUUGCGCUCCUUGGUAUUCCGAGGAGCAUGCCUGUUUGAGUGUCAUGGUAUUCUCAAUUCCCUAAAUCUUUGCGGAUAUAGGUGAAUUGGAUGUGGAGGUGAUUGCUGGCGUGCAUGAAAUAUGGCGUGUCGGCUCCUCUAAAAUAAAUUAGCCGGGAAUGUUGCCGUGCCAACCUCAGUGUGAUAAUUGUCUACGCUGUUGUUGCUCAGCAAAAUAUAUGUUCUUGCUUCUAAUCGUCUUUGGACAACUUUUUGACAUCUGACCUCAAAUCAGGUAGGACUACCCGCUGAACUUAA
rnacentral:rRNA from 1 species